UCUUAUCGAGAGUGGCGGAGGGACUGGCCCUGUGAAGCCCGGCAACCUAACUUUGUUAAGGUGCUAAAUCCAGCGGUGUGUAACCGAAAGAUGAG
rnacentral:ncRNA from 1 species